UGGGGAAUAUUGCACAAUGGGCGCAAGCCUGAUGCAGCCAUGCCGCGUGUGUGAAGAGGGCCUUCGGGUUGUAAAGCACUUUCAGCGAGGAGGAAGGUGGUGAGCUUAAUACGCUCAUCAAUUGACGUUACUCGCAGAAGAAGCACCGGCUAACUCCGUGCCAGCAGCCGCGGUAAUACGGAGGGUGCAAGCGUUAAUCGGAAUUACUGGGCGUAAAGCGCACGCAGGCGGCUUGUUAAGUCAGAUGUGAAAUCCCCGGGCUCAACCUGGGAACUGCAUUUGAAACUGGCAAGCUAGAGUCUCGUAGAGGGGGGUAGAAUUCCAGGUGUAGCGGUGAAAUGCGUAGAGAUCUGGAGGAAUACCGGUGGCGAAGGCGGCCCCCUGGACGAAGACUGACGCUCAGGUGCGAAAGCGUGGGGAGCAAAACAGGAUUAGAUACCCCUGGUAGUCCACGCUGUAAAACGAUGUCGAUUUUGGAGGUUGUGCCCUUGAGGCGUGGCUUCCGGAGCUAACGCGUUAAAUCGACCGCCUGGGGAGUACGGCCGCAAGGUUAAAACUCAAAUGAAUUGACGGGGUCAAGCUGUUUCCU
rnacentral:rRNA from 1 species